UUUUUGAGAAGGAGUCUCACUCUGUCACCCAGGCUGGAGUACAGUGGCGCAAUCUCGCUAUCUCAGCUCACUGCAACCUCCGCCUCCCGGGUUCAAGUGAUUCUCCUGCCUCAGCCUCCCAAGUAGCUGGGAUUACAGGCACCUGCCACCACACCCAGCUAAUUUUGUAUUUUUAGUGGAGAUGGGGUUUCACCAUGUUGGUCAGGCUGGUCUCAAACUCCUGACCUCAGGUGAUCCGCCCACCUCAGCCUCCCAAAGUUCCCAAAGUGCUAGGAUUACAGGCAUGAGUCCGGGUACCUGGCUUAACUCUCAUUUUAACUGGACUUAUUUCCUUCAACCUCCAAGCAAGCCCACAAACUUAUUCGUUCUGUUUUGUCUGCUCAGAGGAAAAUGUGGUCGUGUUGGAGGAGAAGACAACUUCACUGGCUCUGAAAAGCCAAUGAAAAUAGUACUUUGCAAAAAGUUGUGAAUAACUCUGCAUGUCAAAAUUACUCAAGGCAAAAAAAACAAAACAAAACAAAACAAAACUCCCCCAGGGAGCUGGGGGGAGGGAAAACUCUAGUAAAACUUUUGCUUGCUGCCCUUCCAAUAGGUAAAGGGCUCCAUUAGCCAAACUCCCUAAAUUUUCCCCUCCCUUCUCUUAAUCCUGCUUUCUCUACUAGGCCACCUCCCACUCUUCUCCACCCAGGCAAUCUGCCCUUCUUUCUCUUACUUUUUAGUGACAAGCAAGCAGUUGCCAGAUGCCUCAAUGCCUAGGGUAGACAUUCCGUGGCAACGUCCCCUGGUCAGCUGGAAGCAGAGGAUGACGAAGCUGGGGAGAACAUAUUACUCUUUGAAGUCACUGCCCUCAUUUGACAGAUGCGACGGGAAAUAGCCGUGGAUGGAAGGUGCAGUUGAAGGCACACUAUCUCUAAGACACGCAAGCGCAAAGCCAGGGGGUUCCAAACGAACUGCAUUCCUGGAAAUGUGUCUGAACUUCUCCGACUUGGCUGAUGCCUUACGCCCUUUCCAAGAUAACAUUCCUUUUACGGGAAAUGAAGUGACUGGCCUGGGGUUUCAUUCCACGUGGAGGGAAAUUGGGCAAGUGCUGGACGUGGUUAGGAGAGAGGAAACUCAAUUCUUCUCAGUGAAACCUCCACCCGAGGGAAGCUACCCCUCAGCCUCCCUUCUGAGUAACCUUCUCUGGCCAUCCCUUCUCCUGCCAUGGCUCUCGAUUGAUCACUAGGAGGACAGAAAAAGUGAAGACAGUUCUGGUUUGGGCACCAGGCAUAGCAUGCUUCCUCUGCAAAAAGUAGCGAAUGACUCACGGAAAAAGAAUCCCCCAAGGAGCUGGGGGCAGGGAAAACGCUGGCAAAUGUGCAGACAGGGCAUCCUCUAGCACAAGCAUCCUGAUCCAGCCACACUCUCCUCUAGCGAGGGCGUCCACCUCUUCGCUCAACAUAAAACCAGGUCGCUGGCUUAGAGGAUACACCCUCUUCAGACAGUCCUGGUUCACCCUGGGCACCACGGAGGCGGAGGCAGAGGAUGGGUCACUAAAGCCUAGGAGACUUCUACAGACCCUCUGUCCAUCCCCAGCAGACCGCAUCUGACUCUAUUAGGAACAAAAGUCCCCCAGGCUUCCUGCCCCGACGUUCGGUGUUCUCUUCCUGAAAGGAGACUGCGCAUGGAGGUGGAGUGGGAAGAUGGCUCAGCUUGCAGCAGGUCUUCUGGGACUGAAUGAAGAGUGCAUCCUGCCUCUCAGUCUCCGUGCAGGCCAGUUACCUUUCCAAGCUGAUGGGGGCCAUCCACUGUCUUCCCAUCAUCAUCUGGUCCCCAGCUGUUGAGAAAUAAAUACCUAGAGGGGACAGCCAGAGCCAGGCUAUGGCUACCCACCCAGCGCUUCCCAGUC